rnacentral:lncRNA from 1 species
GCAGCAUCACGCCGGCAAGCUCCGAUAAGCUCUUCUAGUUCACCCUCCACCUCCCUCCUCCCUCCUCUAUGGGAUCUCCGACAUGGAAUCAGACCCUCUGCGUCCACCAAUGCGGCGGUUCAGCUCCGGCGUAAGUCAAAAUCAAUUUGGGUGCCCAGAGCAACUUCUUUGGUUAAAAAUGAUGAUUUACUGAGGUAAUAGAUUUAUUACUGGGAGGUAGUAAAUUUACUGUGUCUACUGGUCAAGGAGAUACUUUAUUGUAAGUUUACUUCCCCUAUUAGAAGUUUACUAGGGGUAGUAGACUUUACUUUUCAGCAUAUAAGUUGAUUUUUUUUCUCUAUUUUAAUGUGUAUAAUGACUAUGGAGAUAUUGUAUUGCAUGUUUACUACCCCCAGUAGAUGUUUACUAGGGGUAGUAAACUUUAAUUUUCGUCAUAUAAGUUGGGUUUUGUUGUUUAAAGUGUAUACGUGACCUGAGAAAUAUUGUAUUGCAGGUUUACUACCCCCAGUAGAAGUUUACUAGGGGCAGUAAACUUU